rfam:Mesocricetus auratus contig173603, whole genome shotgun sequence.
CCAAAGGCUCUUUUCAGAGCCACCACGUGCGCCCGGAAGGAGCUGU